GUACUGUAGGAACGAUAUGCAGCAUACUGCCAAUGGCACAGGAGAAGCAGUUUCAGCUGGUGAUUUGGUACUGUGCUUCAAAAGCAGGCAGUAUAAUUAUCAUAUGCUCAGAGCAGUCAAGUCACGAUGCUGUUGGGAGUAAUGACUCAUGUCAAAAGAGUAAAGAAGUAUUUUUCAUGCUUAAUCAAUAGGAGUGGAGUUUAAAUACUAUAUACUUUAAAAUGAAAUGGGAGAUAUGAAUUUGAAAUUCAUAAUCAUUCUAAUUACAGAGACUGGGGAAGGCUAAAAGGUACUGAAGAUUACACUGCAAGGUGAAGUUCAGGAACUUGGUAUGUGUUUAAAGAGUGCAGACACUUUAGUGGGUAAAGGAAAAUCCAUAAAAAAUUAGGAAAUACAAAAAAGGAAAUAGCUUUUGUUUGCCUCCCUAGCAAACACCUCUAAAACCUAUAAAAAAUGAAGUGGUUUGUUUCAUGUAUAGUUCAAGGAUGGUCCAAAUAAUGACAAUAUAGUUUCCUUGUCUCUUUAAGUUCCUGAAAGGCACGUAUAAAUCCGAGAAGGGGUGAUACAGACUGGUCCUUUAACCUGCUAGAGAAUCAUAUGGAAGUGCUAAGGUGACUCACAAGGCUGCACGUUAAAAGGCUUUCAAAAUACAAUGCUUGCCUUCGCUUUCACAUCAGCAAACUCAUCCUUUUUUUGGAGUGGACAAAUUUCAACCUUCCUUUUCAUCUUCUACAAAUAAAAAUCUCAGCAGGUCCUGGUUAUACAGCAGUCAUCUCCCAAGGAAUCCAGAAGGCUGGGGAGUCUUGGGAGCUCUCCUGAGUGUGCAAAGAACAUGGCAACACAACUGGGAGUCUGGAAACCCCUGUGUGCAACCUCUGCCUCCUGGGAGUCACCAUACAGCUUGACGGCAUAGAUGCUAAUGGAAAACAAGGCUGCAAAACUUAAGCGCAGAACAUGGAAACAGCCUAUCAAGCCCAUGCCAUAACUGCCAAUGAAAUUUCACUUCAUUCUGCACACUUGUGUUAUGCCUUCUCCGUACAUCAUAUCCUCCAAUUUAUUUCAUGCUCUAUGUCACCCUUUGUCUUGUGUAAGAAUUCAAAGAUAAUAAUAACACAGUUAUUCUAGGGAAAUAUUUUUAGAACUGGAGCAACUACCCUUCAAGAUCAGAAACAAAUGAACACAACUCAGUUUUAAUACAUGAGCAAAUACAAAAUAUAUAAAUAGCAUAUAUAA